UACGUAGGGGGCAAGCGUUGUCCGGAAUCAUUGGGCGUAAAGCGCGCGUAGGCGGCCCGGUAAGUCCGCUGUGAAAGUCAAAGGCUCAACCUUUGAAUGUCAGCGGAUACUGCCGGGCUAGAGUCCGGAAGAGGCGAGUGGAACUCCUGGUGUAGCGGUGGAAUGCGCAGAUAUCAGGAGGAACACCGGUGGCGAAGGCGGUUCUCUGGGCAUUACCUGACGCUGAGGAGCGAAAGCAUGGGGAGCGAACAGG
rnacentral:rRNA from 1 species